rnacentral:rRNA from 1 species
GAUAAACGCUGGCGGCGUGCUUAACACAUGCAAGUCGAACGAAGUUUUUCUUUCGGGAGGAACUUAGUGGCGGACGGGUGAGUAACGCGUGGGUAACCUGCCCUGUACAGGGGGACAACAGCUGGAAACGGCUGCUAAUACCGCAUAAGCCCUUAACACCGCAUGGUGUAUAGGGAAAAGGAGCAAUCCGGUACAGGAUGGACCCGCGUCUGAUUAGCCAGUUGGCAGGGUAACGGCCUACCAAAGCGACGAUCAGUAGCCGAUCUGAGAGGAUGUACGGCCACAUUGGGACUGAGACACGGCCCAGACUCCUACGGGAGGCAGCAGUGGGGAAUAUUGCACAAUGGAGGAAACUCUGAUGCAGCGACGCCGCGUGAGUGAAGAAGUAUUUCGGUAUGUAAAGCUCUAUCAGCAGGGAAGAAAAUGACGGUACCUGACUAAGAAGCACCGGCUAAAUACGUGCCAGCAGCCGCGGUAAUACGUAUGGUGCAAGCGUUAUCCGGAUUUACUGGGUGUAAAGGGAGCGUAGGUGGCAAGGCAAGCCAGAAGUGAAAACCCGGGGCUCAACCGCGGGAUUGCUUUUGGAACUGUCAUGCUAGAGUGCAGGAGGGGUGAGCGGAAUUC